rnacentral:rRNA from 1 species
AUGUUUGAUGUUCUAACGUUGACCCGUAAUCCGGGUUGCGGACAGUGUCUGGUGGGUAGUUUGACUGGGGCGGUCUCCUCCUAAAGAGUAACGGAGGAGCACGAAGGUUGGCUAAUCCUGGUCGGACAUCAGGAGGUUAGUGCAAUGGCAUAAGCCAGCUUGACUGCGAGCGUGACGGCGCGAGCAGGUGCGAAAGCAGGUCAUAGUGAUCCGGUGGUUCUGAAUGGAAGGGCCAUCGCUCAACGGAUAAAAGGUACUCCGGGGAUAACAGGCUGAUACCGCCCAAGAGUUCAUAUCGACGGCGGUGUUUGGCACCUCGAUGUCGGCUCAUCACAUCCUGGGGCUGAAGUAGGUCCCAAGGGUAUGGCUGUUCGCCAUUUAAAGUGGUACGCGAGCUGGGUUUAGAACGUCGUGAGACAGUUCGGUCCCUAUCUGCCGUGGGCGCUGGAGAACUGAGGGGGGCUGCUCCUAGUACGAGAGGACCGGAGUGGACGCAUCACUGGUGUU